GACGAACGCUGGCGGCGUGCUUAACACAUGCAAGUCGAACGGUGAAGCGCCUUCCUUUUUGGUGGGUGUGGAUGAGUGGCGAACGGGUGAGUAACUCGUGAGUAACCUGCCCCCUUCUUCUGGAUAACCGCAUGAAAGUGUGGCUAAUACGGGAUAUUCUGGGUCUGUCGCAUGAUGGGUCUGGGAAAGAUAUUGUUUCGGUGGGGGAUGGGCUCGCGGCCUAUCAGCUUGUUGGUGGGGUGAUGGCCUACCAAGGCGGUGACGGGUAGCCGGCCUGAGAGGGUGGACGGUCACACUGGGACUGGGACACGGCCCAGACUCCUACGGGAGGCAGCAGUGGGGAAUAUUGCACAAUGGGCGCAAGCCUGAUGCAGCGACGCCGCGUGCGGGAUGGAGGCCUGCGGGUUGUGAACCUCUUUCGCCAGUGAAGCAGGCCUGCCUCGUUUGUGGGUGGGUUGACGGUAGCUGGAUAAGAAGCGCCGGCUAACUACGUG
rnacentral:rRNA from 1 species